CUCCCAGCCAUCAUGAACUCCCUUUCCUUUUAGUAUUACUGUCCAUGGGAUCUCACCCAGCACUUCCCUAAGUUUUAUGAAGUCGGCUUUCUUAAAGUCAAGAAAUUGAGUCCUAGUAUGCUUGGCUGCUCCUUUCCGCUGUAUAGUAAACUUCAGAAGAGCAUGAUCACUCACGCCUAAUGAUCCUUCCACUUCUACCCCACUAACCAGGUCAUCAACAUUGGUUAGGACCAGAUCUAAAAUGGCUGUUUCUCUUGUUGCUUCUCCCACUUUCUGGACAAUGAAGUUGUCUGCAAGGCCAGUGAGGAAUCUGUUUGACCUUAUGCUCUUGGCUGAGUUUGACAUCCAACAAAUAUCCGGGUAAUUGAAGUCCCCCAUUACUACUAUCUCCCUUCCUUUUGCAUGCUUGGCCAUCUGUUCCAGGAAGGCAUCAUCUAUGUCCUCCGUUUGGCUUGGGGAUCUAUAGUAAACUCCCACAAUGAGGUCACUGUUAUUCUUCUCUCCUUAAUUUUGACCCAAAUGCUCUCACUUUGGCUUUGAGGUUCUAAAUCUUGGAUCUCUUCACAGGUAUACACAUCCCUGACAUAUAACGCCACUCCUCCUCCUUUCUUGUCUGGUCUGUUUCUCUGAAAUAGAUUGUAUCCCUCCAUUAUUACAUUCCAACCGUGGGACUUAUCCCACCAGGUAUCAGUGAUGCCCAUUAUGUCAUAUUUAGUUUGCUGUACCAAGAGCUCAAGCUCAUCUUGUUUAUUUCCCAUGCUUUGCGCAUUAGUGUACAGACAUUGAAGUCCAUUAAUCAUUCCCCCGUAUCUCUUAUUUAAGGAUUUUUUCCUCCCACCACUAGGUCUGCGUGCUGUUUGCUCCAUUUGGUCUAUGACAUUUGGAUGAUCAUCUUCAUCAAUUGAUAGACUCCUACCUUCAGGAGCACUGUCUCCCUCCCCCACAUUAGUCAGUUUAAAGCCCUCCUGAUGAGGUUUCUGAGAUUUUUGGCAAAAACAUUCCUCCCAACCGUUGUGAGGUGCAGCCCAUCGCUUGCCAGAAGUCCAUCUUCAAGAAACUGCAGUCCGUGAUCUAAGAAUCCAAACCGUUCCUGUUUACACCAUUUGCGAAGCCAGCUGUUCACUUCCACUAUUUUCCCUCUCUCCCUGGGCCACGUCGUUCAACUGGGAGGACAGAUGAGAUGACAAUUUGUGCAUUUAAUUGCUUCAAUUUCCUGCCCAGAGCCUCGUAGUCUCUUUUGAUCUUCUGGAGGCUAUUGCUUGCAGUGUCAUUGGUUCCAACAUGAACCAAGAGGAAGGGGUAUUUGUCAGUGGGCUUUAUGAUUCCUUGCAGUCGUUCAGUUACAUCUUGGAUCUUAGCCCCGGGGAGACAGCACACUUCCCGAGACAUCUUGUCAGGCCCACAGAUCACUGCUUCUGUUCCCCUCAGUAGAGAAUCCCCUAUCACCACUACACGCCUCCUCUUAGGUUUGGUCGGGG